rnacentral:lncRNA from 1 species
UAAUAGGUAUUCAAAUGUGAGGGCUCUGAAUUGCUAUUCAACGCACAGGCCGAAUACAUUUUCAAAUUUUGGGACCAAAAUAGCGCUUUCUUCUCCCCAAUUUCUGCUCCAGAUUUGUUCCAACCUUUUUCCCCAAAUCAAGAAUCCAUCCGCCCUUCAUCUUCAUCUACUCAAAGGUACGUUUUCUUUUUUUUACUUCAAGCUCCUAAAACAGGAUUCUAUUUCUCCUUCCUUAUAAUUACUCCAGAUUUCUUGUCUGCGUUUCAAAGUUGAGACCUUUGUUUAGUCUUCUUUUGGCCUGUAGCAUGUCAAAUUCUUUUUUUCUUUUGUUCCUGAAUUAGGAUUUUUGUGUAAGGCGGCUAGGGUUUUUAUUUGACCUUCAUCUGUCAUCUAUUAUAAUAUACUGCAUUCCUUCAUCUUUAUUUUUUUCAUACUGCUCUUCCUUUAACUCUAGCAAACUUCCUAACAAUUUCUUGCAUUUUUUUCCCAUUUCUUUUAUUAAAUUUCAUACUUUAACUUUAAGAAUUCUCAUAGUUUUUUUCUCUUUAAACUCGUUUUUCAUCCAAAUUAUCUUCUGGGUACUUUUUACUAUUUGCUAAGCAUUGAGCAUUCAUUAUCUUCAUUCUCAAGUUUUUCGUUUUGGCUUCUUUUUUUAUACUGGUAACUUUUUGUUGUUUAGUAUUUUUAUUACACAUACCGAUCUCAUUUUUUUUCUUUUUUUAAUCGGAUUGUUAUAUUCAUUGAAUUCAAUCUGGUUUUAUUAUUUUUGUCAAGAAAAAUAAGUUUUGGAUUUUGAUACAAUUUUUGGAUUACUUCAAUAAUUUGAUUGUUAUCCAUUUGAGAUUUUGUUGUCUUGCAUCUUUGUUAGUUUUAAUUGAUAGCAUUGAUCCAAUUUGAAUAUCAACUAUUUUAAGUUCUGGCUUGGGUUACUUGCAUAUUCUUAGUAUUUGGUUCUAAAGCUAGGGGAAGUCAUACUACUUUUGUUUCACUUGUUAUGCAGGCCCUUGUUUGGUUGUAUUUUGAUGAGAUAAAAUAUGAUCUAUAAGAGUGUAUACGGUUUCUUUUUUGUUGGUUUCAUUUCAACUCACAUUGGCAUACUUGUUCUUACAAAUUUUUUACAGGUUGGGUAAACCAAUUUGCUAAUGCUGGUGAUGCUACUAUAGAAAUAGCAGAAAACACUGCCUUACGGGUGAGUUCUUCAGUUCAUGAUUGUAAUAAUCCGCUGAAAAUCUCUAAAUCACUUAAGUGUGAAUAUUGCUUGAUGUAUUUAAUUAUUAUUAUGACUGUUUGUCUGUUUCAAAUGCCUGUUGGAGGUGGUUGCCUUGAAACUUUGCGAACAUAGAGAAGGUGGUUUAACAUUUGUUUGUGAACUGCAGUCUUAUCUUGAAUGUAAAUUUUGCUGUAAAUGUUUUUGUCGUACACUUGUCAGCCUUCUGCUUUCUAGUCUUUUGAGCAUGCUUUACUAAAUUUGCAUUAAAAUUGCCCCCUGAGUUAAUAGUCUUGGGAUAGAGUUGGAUUCGAUUAUAUAGAUUCUGCUCCCAUGAGUUCUUGAACUUAAAGCCUGUAGCAUGUCUUCGUUAGUUUUGUUAUAUACAUAUUUUUUCUAUUUCCAAUUCAUGACUAGUCAAAGCUUGUUAUUUGUUUGACAGGAAAGUAUUGCGGUAAAAUUUUAGAUCCAUUGGAAGAAGGUUGCAAGCUUCGCCCCAUUGUUAGUAAAGGGCAGGUAUUAUUUCAAUUUGGUUGUUUGGUUUUAGGUGCUUUAAAGUUACUCUAACGAUGCUAUGAACUUUCUUAUUAGUUUUUUUAUGCGUCCAAUAAAAGGACAAAUUAUAGAAAUGAAAGGCUAUUGCUCUACAAUUUAUAAUCAAUAAACCAAAUGCUGAUAAGGCUCUACUACUAUUAAUAAUCGCCAUAAUUACAUGAAAACAAUCAAAUUCAAUUAUGAUAUUAUCGGUACCAAAUACUUUCAGCCUAAAAAGAAGUUUAGAGAGUGCAAACUCAAUAGCUAAUUUAGGCUUCAACCAUAAAAGAGAAUGACCAGAAAGUAUUUUUCAUAAAAUUACCAUCCAAAUUUCAGAUUAAAGCUGCAAAAUUUGUCGACCCUUCGGCCAUAAUACAAGCCGUAUCUAAGUUGCAUUUUAAUUUACUACCAGUAGGCCUAAUCCAAACGGAACCACUAGAUCAUCUCAUAGUAUUAGUGCUCAUCACUCUAUCAAAAAUGCCUGAUGCAUUUCUCCAACUUUUCAGAAAUGAGGCAAACGACUGUAUGUAGUAAAAUUCUGUCUGAUCGACCUUUUGUCUCACUGACAAAACCAACAUUUAUAUACUCUUCAUAUCUCAUCUACCAAAGGUGUUAUUCUAAUGUUCGUAUUCGUAUUGUAUGGUUGUUUUCCAUGAAUAGUUAUUGUUUGAGACACAGUAGAACUGCAAUCAUAAGACAGUAAAGGAUCAUGCUUGGUUAGGUUAUUGGAGGAAAUGCGUUUUGAGGGAAAGCUUUAUUCCAAGCGGAAAGGAAUGUGUAAAUCAUAUGUAAGAACAUGAGAUGCUUAACAUGAUUAUGUACAGGUUAUUGUGGGAAUUGUGGUCUCUAUGUUCUAUAUCCGCAAUCAUAGAUGAA